CUAGGUUAGAGUACUGGCAAUAGGGUCAUAGGCUUCCCAAUAGGUAUUUACCGCUCUUGGCAUUGCCAUCAGUUAGUGGUCCCGUGAGGCCAACACCCCGCCUCAACGUUUCAGAGGCAAUAACCCAUCGGGCCACACGUUAGCUAGCCGCCUCGCAUGUUGCAUAGAGAGGGCCUCACCUGUCACUCCCUCUCCCUGUUUUCUAUGUUACAGUCACCGAGAGGCCUAAAAUUCCUGCCACUACGACGGGUGGCCUCAAAUCCCCUCGCGCCAACGCAUAGAUAGAGCCUCUGAAGCCACUUGGCAACAAGUAGGGCCUCACCUGUCACCAAACAAGUGUAAUGUUUCGCCAUCCGGCUUGGCUAGCCUGCCAGUACAAUUUUGGUGUGGUUUUCAUACACUAAUUAAUUGUUUUGGUUAUAGUAUGUCUCAGGAAGGGGUAGAGGAUUUCUCCCUGCCUAGCACUCCGGCUAGAGCUAUCA